rnacentral:rRNA from 1 species
ACGAGCGGCGGACGGGUUGAGUAAUGUCUGGGAAACUGCCUGAUGGAGGGGGAUAACUACUGGAAACGGUAGCUAAUACCGCAUAACGUCGCAAGACCAAAGAGGGGGACCUUCGGGCCUCUUGCCAUCAGAUGUGCCCAGAUGGGAUUAGCUAGUAGUGGGGUAACGGCUCACCUAGGCGACGAUCCCUAGCUGGUCUGAGAGGAUGACCAGCCACACUGGAAACUGAGACACGGUCCAGACUCCUACGGGAGGCAGCAGUGGGGAAUAUUGCACAAUGGGCGCAAGCCUGAUGCAGCCGUGCCGCGUGUAUGAAGAAGGCCUUCGGGCUGUAAAGUACUUUCAGCGGGGAGGAAGGUGUUGUGGUUAAUAACCACAGCAAUUGACGUUACCCGCAGAAGAAGCACCGGCUAACUCCGUGCCAGCAGCCGCGGUAAUACGGAGGGUGCAAGCGUUAAUCGGAAUUACUGGGCGUAAAGCGCACGCAGGCGGUCUGUCAAGUCGGAUGUGAAAUCCCCGGGCUCAACCUGGGAACUGCAUUCGAAACUGGCAGGCUAAGUCUUGUAAGGGGGGUAGAAUUCCAGGUGUAGCGGUGAAAUG